UACGACUACAUAUCAGGCAUAUCAAUAAGCGGAGGAAAAGAAACUAACAAGGAUUCCCUUAGUAACGGCGAGUGAAGCGGGAAGAGCUCAAAUUUGAAAUCUUCAAGGUUUUACCUUGACGAAUUGUAGUUUAAAGAAGUGUUUUCUGUUGAAGUUUUGGUAAAAGUUCUUUGGAAUAGGACAUCAUAGAGGGUGAGAAUCCCGUAUUCGACCAUUAUUUUCAGCUGUGUGAUACACUUUCAAAGAGUCGGAUUGUUUGGGAAUGCAGUCCAAAAUGGGUGGUAAAUUUCAUCUAAAGCUAAAUAUUGGCGAGAGGCCGAUAGCGAACAAGUACCGUGAGGGAAAGAUGAAAAGAACUUUGAAAAGAGAGUUAAACAGUACGUGAAAUUGUCAAAAGGGAAGCGUUUGACACCAGUGUUGUUUUCUCGAAAAUCAAUUAAAAAAAGUUGGAUUUUGUGUUGUAUUGACCUUAACAGCUUGCUUCACUCUUUUCCAGCUUUUUUUAAUGCACUUUUCGUUUAACAAGUCAACAUCAGUUUCUUUUGUUGUAAAAGGGUCAUUGGAAGGUGGCUUUCUCUUCGGAGAAAGUGUUUAUAGCCUUUGAUCUCUGCAAUCGGAGAGACUGAGGUCUGCAGCGUAGAUCCUUCGGGGUUAGAUACAUUUGUGCUAAGCUACAGCUUUUCAUAGACAACUUGUUGACUAUGUUUAGUCUUGUGACUUACCCGCUUAUGCUAUUUUACCUACGCUUAGGAUGUUGAGCGCAUGUCUCUCUCU
rnacentral:rRNA from 1 species